rnacentral:misc_RNA from 1 species
AACCUAGCACACCUGCGGUGUGUACCUGCGGAAGGAUCAUAACUGGUUAAACUUUAUAAACACCAGAGUUUCAAACUCUGUGUUUGCAAACAAAAAAACACCCUUCAAAACAGCUAUUCAGUGUCUGAAUUAACUAGUUUAAUAUAAAAACAACUUUCAACAAUGGAUCU